AAAAGGGCCACUGGUCGACAAAAAAACAAUACCCAAUUUGGACUGACCCUAUAACACCUACUAUAACCAACCACAGAGCCAAGAUGAGAGUCGAGGUGCCCAUAUUCCUCUUUCUGGCCGCAACAGGAUUCCAUACUGCUCUCACUGCAUCCCUGGAAUCGGCAGAAAAAAAGGAACAUUUGCAGAGGAUGCUAAGUGACCUGCAAAGGAGAG